CCUACGGGAGGCAGCAGUGGGGAAUUUUGCGCAAUGGGGGGAACCCUGACGCAGCGACGCCGCGUGGGUGAUGAAGGCCUUCGAGUUGUAAAGCCCUGUUGGGGGGGAAGAUAAUGACGGUACCCCCUGAGGAAGCCCCGGCUAACUACGUGCCAGCAGCCGCGGUAAGACGUAGGGGGCGAGCGUUGUCCGGAAUUACUGGGCGUAAAGGGCGUGUAGGCGGCCUUUCAAGUCGGCUGUGAAAUACCCCGGCUCAACCGGGGGGGUGCAGUCGAAACUGGGGGGCUUGAGUGCAGGAGAGGAGGGUGGAAUUCCCGGUGGAGCGGUGAUAUGCGUAGAUAUCGGGAGGAACACCGGUGGCGAAGGCGACCUUCUGGCCUGUUACUGACGCUGAGGCGCGAAAGCCGGGGGAGCAAACAGGAUUAGAUACCCUGGUAGUCCCGGCCGUAAACGCUGGGUACUAGGUGUAGGGGGCUUUGAUGCCUUCUGUGCCGUAGUUAACGCAUUAAGUACCCCGCCUGGGGAGUACGAUCGCAAGGUUGAAACUCAAAUGAAUUGACGG
rnacentral:rRNA from 1 species